rnacentral:rRNA from 1 species
CCUACGGGUGGCAGCAGUGAGGAAUAUUGGUCAAUGGGGGCAACCCUGAACCAGCCAAGUCGCGUGAAGGAUGAAGGUCUUAUGGAUUGUAAACUUCUUUUACACGGGAAUAAAGUGGGGGACGUGUCCCCCUUUGCAUGUACCGUGUGAAUAAGGAUCGGCUAACUCCGUGCCAGCAGCCGCGGUAAUACGGAGGAUCCGAGCGUUAUCCGGAUUUAUUGGGUUUAAAGGGUGCGAAGGCGGGAUGUUAAGUCGGCGGUGAAAUUUUGCAGCUCACCUGUAAAAGUGCCUUCGAUACUGGCCUCCUUGAGUGUGGAUGAAGUAGGCGGAAUUUGUGGUGUAGCGGUGAAAUGCUUAGAUAUCACGAGGAACUCCGAUUGCGCAGGCAGCUUACUAAGCCACAACUGACGCUCAUGCACGAAGGCGUGGGGAUCAAACAGGAUUAGAUACCCUAGUAGUC